GAUGAACGCUGGCGGCGUGCUUAACACAUGCAAGUCGAACGGUGAAGGCGGAGCUUGCUCUGCUGGAUCAGUGGCGAACGGGUGAGUAACACGUGAGCAAUCUGCCCCUGACUCUGGGAUAAGUGCUGGAAACGGCGUCUAAUACUGGAUACGAGCUGCGAAGGCAUCUUCAGCAGCUGGAAAGAAUUUCGGUCAGGGAUGAGCUCGCGGCCUAUCAGCUUGUUGGUGAGGUAAUGGCUCACCAAGGCGUCGACGGGUAGCCGGCCUGAGAGGGUGACCGGCCACACUGGGACUGAGACACGGCCCAGACUCCUACGGGAGGCAGCAGUGGGGAAUAUUGCACAAUGGGCGAAAGCCUGAUGCAGCAACGCCGCGUGAGGGACGACGGCCUUCGGGUUGUAAACCUCUUUUAGCAGGGAAGAAGCGAAAGUGACGGUACCUGCAGAAAAAGCGCCGGCUAACUACGUG
rnacentral:rRNA from 1 species